rnacentral:rRNA from 1 species
ACUCCUACGGGAGGCAGCAGUGGGGAAUUUUGGACAAUGGGGGGAACCCUGAUCCAGCGAUGCCGUGUGUGUGAAGAAGGCCUGCGGGUUGUAAAGCACUUUCAUUGGAGAGGAAGUAAUGACGCAAGUUGUUAUUGACGUUACCCAAAGAAGAAGCACCGGCUAACUCUGUGCCAGCAGCCGCGGUAAUACAGAGGGUGCAAGCGUUAAUCGGAAUUACUGGGCGUAAAGCGCGCGUAGGUUGAAAAGGGCAGUG